AGACCCGAAACCCGGUGAUCUAGCCAUGGGCAGGUUGAAGGUUGGGUAACACUAACUGGAGGACCGAACCGACUAAUGUUGAAAAAUUAGCGGAUGACCUGUGGCUGGGGGUGAAAGGCCAAUCAAACCGGGAGAUAGCUGGUUCUCCCCGAAAGCUAUUUAGGUAGCGCCUCGUGAAUUCAUCUCCGGGGGUAGAGCACUGUUUCGGCUAGGGGGCCAUCCCGGCUUACCAACCCGAUGCAAACUGCGAAUACCGGAGAAUGUUAUCACGGGAGACACACGGCGGGUGCUAACGUCCGUCGUGAAGAGGGAAACAACCCAGACCGCCAGCUAAGGUCCCAAAGUCAUGGUUAAGUGGGAAACGAUGUGGGAAGGCCCAGACAGCCAGGAUGUUGGCUUAGAAGCAGCCAUCAUUUAAAGAAAGCGUAAUAGCUCACUGGUCGAGUCGGCCUGCGCGGAAGAUGUAACGGGGCUAAACCAUGCACCGAAGCUGCGGCAGCGACACUGUGUGUUGUUGGGUAGGGGAGCGUUCUGUAAGCCUGUGAAGGUGGCCUGUGAGGGUUGCUGGAGGUAUCAGAAGUGCGAAUGCUGACAUAAGUAACGAUAAAGCGGGUGAAAAGCCCGCUCGCCGGAAGACCAAGGGUUCCUGUCCAACGUUAAUCGGGGCAGGGUGAGUCGACCCCUAAGGCGAGGCCGAAAGGCGUAGUCGAUGGGAAACGGGUUAAUAUUCCCGUACUUGGUGUUACUGCGAAGGGGGGACGGAGAAGGCUAUGUUGGCCGGGCGACGGUUGUCCCGGUUUAAGCGUGUAGGUGUGUGUUCCAGGUAA
rnacentral:rRNA from 1 species